rnacentral:snRNA from 1 species
AAAUACCCGUGCGUUGCAACGGGUAAAAAAAUUCUAAUAAUAAUAUACGUUUUUCAUGUAUAAUCAUGUCAAUGACAAUGUUUCUAUUUUAACGAGCGGCUUGUUUUUUUAUAAACAGUGUUUUUUUUCUUGCGCGAUUUUCUCAAACCAUUUUUCAGAAAAGGCGCAUUUCUUUC